rnacentral:rRNA from 1 species
UACGUAGGUGGCAAGCGUUAUCCGGAAUGAUUGGGCGUAAAGCGUCCGCAGGUGGCAAUGUAAGUCUGCUGUCAAAGCGUCUGGCUCAACCAGAUAAAGGCAGUGGAAACUACAUAGCUAGAGUAAGGUAGGGGUAGAGGGAAUUCCUGGUGUAGCGGUGAAAUGCGUAGAGAUCAGGAAGAACACCGGUGGCGAAAGCGCUCUGCUGGACCUAAACUGACACUGAGGGACGAAAGCUAGGGGAGCGAAUGGG